AACGUAGGAGGCGAGCGUUAUCCGGAUUCACUGGGCGUAAAGCGCGUGCAGGCGGUUCGGUAAGUUGGGCGUGAAAUCUCCCGGCUCAACUGGGAGAGGUCGUCCAAUACUACCGGACUUGAGAGUGAUAGAGGAAGAUGGAAUUCCCGGUGUAGUGGUGAAAUGCGUAGAUAUCGGGAGGAACACCAGUGGCGAAAGCGGUCUUCUGGAUCAUUUCUGACGCUCAGACGCGAAAGCUAGGGUAGCAAACGGGAUUAGAGACCCCGGUAGUCCUAGCCGUAAACGAUGUGAACUUGGCGUUGGUGCCUUAAACAGCAUCAGUGCCGAAGCAAACGCGAUAAGUUCACCGCCUGGGGACUACGAUCGCAAGAUUAAA
rnacentral:rRNA from 1 species